UUCUAAUUAUUUGCAGCUGCCGUCUUUUUUAUUGUAACUUAAAAAUAUAGAACGGAACUGUGCCAUCGCAGAAUGGAGGUUCUACCUCGGCAGCGGCUGUUAAUAUAAUUGGCUGAUUUAAAUGUAGCUUGCGAAGACGAUCUUUCAACUCUUCCACUACAGUUUUAUUUAUUCCGCUCCUUCGAAAUCUGUGAGGACACCUCUGCUAUUUACGACGUUACUUACGAUAUCUGUACAUACUGCUCUUUCUGCUCUGUGAAAAUAUACAGGCGCCAACAUUUGUGAUGACACCUCUGCCAUUUAUGAGGUUACCUGCGUCGUUAUUUGCGUUGACAUCAUAUCUGCGACAUAUUUCUCAACAUUAAUGUUUUCCGCUUUCAUGGCCUCUCGCAACCGUUCAAUUUUGAAUACAUCCGUUUGACUAAAAGUUGUUAAUAAAUUCAAAUGCUAGUAUUGCUAUCGAGUAUUGCUUAACAGUGUUGCGCAAACUAGUUUUAAAUUACUUUUUAAAAAAGAAAUAUAUCUACCGUAUUUUAUACCCUUAUACCAUGUUUUAUACUAUAAAGAUAUUGCAACUUCAACAAAUAAAUUAUUUUAGGAGUCUAUAUAUUUAAAAACUAAAAUUAGAACUAUAUAACAACCUGGUAAUUUAUUUAUGUAAAGAGUUAUAUGUAAAAUAUUGUACAUAUUAUAAUGGCUACAUGCUGAAAUACUGAGACAACUACCUGAUAUGCCUACCGUAUUUUAUACUAUAAAGAUAUUGCAACUUCAAAAAAUAAUUUAUUUUAGAAGUCUAUAUAUUUGAAAACUAAACUAAGAACUAUAUAAUAAUAUGGUAAUUUUGUAUGUUAAAAGUUGUAAUAAACUAUUGUACAUAUAUCCACCAUUAAUUGCUGAUAUAUAAAACGUAAAUAAAAUUUGUGAUUAAAUAAAUCUAUACUGAAAUUACAACACUAGUAACAUUUCUUGAUAAAAGUACAAUGAUAAAUUUUGCUUUAUUGUUUAAAUGAAUUAUUAUCACUUGCAUGGCAAUAAGUUUUGCUUUUUUGAUUGUAUAAAUUAUUAUUACUUAUAGUAUCAAAUUCUGUUCCAAUAGUUAUUUCUUCCCGUCCACUCAUAGUUAAAUUGAAUUUUCAGUUUGCCCAUUAAUAAGUUAUUUAAAAUGCUUAAAAAUAUGCCGCAUAUUUACCUAUAUCAACUUGGUAUAAUAUUAUAUAUUGUUAGCAUUAAACAACAAAUAAUAACCAAAAUUUGAAAUAUUUAUAAAUAAUUAUUUAGGCGUUUUCUGCUAUGCGCAACCCGUUUUAAUCCCUCGCCACCCUAACUCACCAUGGCCACCAGGUUGGUUUUAUUGUGAACGUACACCUCAGAGGUGGCGAAGCUAUUGUGAAUGGGACUUUCGCUACUCCCUUAUACCAUGCUACGAAUUCGCUGUCUAGUUGCUUUUGGCAGUUUAUCGUCGAUUCUGAUUUGUUCGCCACAAUAUUAAUACUUAACGCAUUUUUUGCAUUGCACCCUUGUGUGUUGCGAAAAUGUCGGCAAAACUGUUGAGGACGUCUCUGAAAUAAAAAAUACAUAUGCAUAUGUAACUAAACAGAGACUAACUUUGUGUCGUAUUGCCUGUAGAUAUACAAACGGUCCGAGAAUGGUAUCCAGUCCAAUUUAGGAUGGUCACCAAAUAGUUGCCUAAUACCAAUAAAAAAUACCACUCAAUACUUUCCGAUAGCGGUUUUUGACGGUCGAUGCUCUACAAAUUGUUCUUCGAAACGUCCAGAAAUUUGUUUAUUUUGGCAACGGUGGUAUCGGAAUGAGGCAAAAUUUCGUACAAGCCGUAGAAUUGCUUCACAGCAUUAAUUUCCUCUUCAAUCAAUUUACGUACAACCUCUAUGCCCAACACAUAAAUAUUUCAAUUCGAUACACAGUAACCAUGGCGAAAAUCAUUAAAAAAAAAAAACACAAAUUCCUUGGAAUCACCAUUGCGCAAUACUUCUCGAUAGCGACACAAUUGAUCCUACUAGAUUUCCAAUAUAACAUUAUAAUUAAAAAACAGUUCAGACAAAACGCUUACUUCAAAAAUUGUUUCCAAAUAAUGCCGGCCAUUGUUGAAGAAAAAUGGAACAGCUUUACGUGCAUCUCCUUACGCAUUCAAAAAAUAUGUAUGAUGAAUAUCGCUACUCUUACAACAAAAUUUUAAAUUUAAAAACAAAAAGUUAGCUUUGAAUAUGUAGUGGUGUAAAGGAUAAACUUUACUAAUGUAGUAGUGAAUUGGUUACCUCCGUCUUGUCGGGUUCUUGAUUUGGUUUGUUAGCAAUGUAAAAGUAGCCAUACACGACACACUUAUGUUUUCGAUCGGUAUGAAAUCUUUUCGCCAUACACGACAUACGGAUCCGUUUUACAUUCGUCCUUCAAUGAGUAAACAUGUACCAGAAUCAAGCGGAUAAUUGAAUGAUACUUUUUAUAUUUUAAUUCUCGAAUAGAUGUAUUAUAAUAGCAUCUUUAUGUAUUUGAUUCUAUUUAGACAAUAAAUUAUUCCAAUAUAUAUAUUUUUCCAUUAAAUUUUACUAUAAUUUUGUAACUUUUGGUUUUCCAAAUGAGCAAUUGUGUGCACACAAGCCCAUAUACGACAUACUUGUGUGCACCUUAAUUGAAAAAUAUCGAAAAUUUUCGUCAACUUGGAUUCGUAUGCACACAAGCCCACACACGAGUUAAUCUCACUUGCGCACAUACUUAUCGAAUGCACAUGUAUAUAUGUCGUGUGUGGCCACUUUUAGUACAUUGCUUACAAAAUUUUUUUAGUAAAAUCUAUUUUCUAUCGUAUUUUCAAUUCAUCAUAUUUUUUAGUGAAAUUUUAAAAAACGUUUACGUGCAAAUGGACUAAUUCAUUUCAAUCUGAACUUAAGCUACUAGAGAAGGUUCAAUUGCGGACUAGCGUGUUAGUUGUCCAAAUCUAACAAAUCACAAUGAU